rnacentral:rRNA from 1 species
UACGUAGGGUGCAAGCGUUGUCCGGAAUUAUUGGGCGUAAAGAGCUCGUAGGCGGUUUGUCGCGUCGAAUGUGAAAACCCGGGGCUCAACCCCGGGCCUGCAUUCGAUACGGGCAGACUAGAGUUCGGUAGGGGAGUCUGGAAUUCCUGGUGUAGCGGUGAAAUGCGCAGAUAUCAGGAGGAACACCGGUGGCGAAGGCGGGACUCUGGGCCGAUACUGACACUGAGGUGCGAAAGCUAGGGUAGCAAACGGG